AGAGGGAUUGGCAGGGGGCAGUUUUGCCAUCAGAGUGGAGGUGAGGGGUCUGUUGUGGUGGCAGUCAGCAGCUGCCUGAGGAUCUGGGAGAGACCUAGCAGGCAGUGAGGACAGUGGAUGGCAAGGGGCCUCAGAGCUCUGUGACCUCAUAAUUUUCCUGUGGGACCACAAAGGUGGCUUCCACAGUGCAUAGUGGUUAUCAGCUGUGCCUCCCUCUUAGAGGUCCUCGGAGUCCAGAGUCCUCGAAGGGAAAUCUGACACAAAGAAGCAGGUGUGAGACCGGCCCCUUUCUCCCAUGCCUUAGACAGGGCUCCAGGGACUGCUUCAGGGGAGAUGUCAGAGGGCAGCAGGGACCGGGAAGGGAGGAAGAAAGCAGAGUGACAGUGAGAGGUGGGAAAACUACAAGAGGAAUUGUUUGUACGCUUGGAUCUGGACUUUUAGAACUGGUCAGGACCUGACAGAUCCUCCAGCCCAGUUCUCCCGGCUCUCAAACACUGGCAUCAUUUAUAAUUCCCUGGAAAAUCACCAGCAGGUAAAUGAAGGAGAAAAGAAAAGAACAAAAUCCACCGGGAACCAGAGACUUCCAGGCUCCAAAGACAGGCAAUCUCCACCAGGAAAGACGGGUUUCGCCGUGUUGGCCGAGCUGGUCUCCAGCUCCCGACCGCGAGUGAUCUGCCCGCUUCGGCCUCCCGAGGUGCCGGGAGUGCAGACGGAGUCUCGCUCACUCAGUGCUCAGUCUUGCCGGGGCUGGAGUGCAGUGGCGUGAUCUCGGCUCGCUACAACCUCCACCUCCCAGCUGCCUGCCUUGGCCUCCCAAAGUGCUGAGAUUGCAGCCUCUGCCCAGCCGCCACCCCGUCUGGGAAGUGAGGAGCGUCUCUGCCUGGCCGUCCAUCAUCUGAGAUGUGAGGAGCCCCUCUGCCUGGCAGCCCAGUCGGGGAAGUGAGGAGCACCUCUUCCCGGCCGCCAUCCCAUCUAGGAAGUGAGGAGCGUCUCUGCCCUGCCGCCCAUCGUCUGAGAUGUGGGGAGCGCCGCUGCCCCGCCGCCCCGCCGCCCCGUCUGGGAUAUGAGGAGCACCUCUGUCUGGCCGCGACCCCGUCUGGGAACUGAGGAGUGUCUCUGCCCGACCGCCACCCCGUCUGGGAGGUGAGGAGCGUCUCUGCCCGGCCACCCCGUCUGAGAAGUGAGGAGCCCCUCCGCCCGGCAGCUGCCCCGUCUGGGAAGUGAGGAGCCCCUCUGCCCUGCAGCCGCCCAGUCUGGGAAGUGAGGAGCGUCUCCGCCCAGCAGCCGCCCCGUCUGGGAGGGAGGUGGGGGGCAGCCCCCGCCCGGCCAGCUGCCCCAUCUGGGAGGUGAGGGGCGCCUCUGCCCGGCCGCCCCGUCUGGGAAGUGAAGAGCCCCUCUGCCCGGCUGCCACCCCGUCUGGGAGGUGUACCCAACAGCUCAUUGAGAACGGGCCAUGAUGACGAUGGCGGUUUUGUCGAAUAGAAAAGGGGGAAAUGUGGGGAAAAGAGAGAUCAGAUUGUUACUGUGUCUGUGUGGAAAGAAGUAGACAUGGGAGACUCCAUUUUGUUCUGUACUAAGAAAAUUCUUCUGCCUUGGGAUGCUGUUAAUCUAUAACCUUACCCCCAACCCCGUGCUCUCUGAAACAUGUGCUGUGUCCACUCAGGGUUAAAUGG
rnacentral:lncRNA from 1 species